rnacentral:lncRNA from 1 species
UGCAAACUAAAUCAAAUUCAACGAGAUGUUUAUGUGCACUCUCUCCAAGCAAGUUGUCGAAUUUUGGAAGAACUUGAAUGAAGUCGGGAUUGAUUUCAGCCUUUUCAUUAAUCGUGGGCAACACAAUGCAUAGAGGAUGAUUUCUCCUAUGGCGGUCCAACUCUCUUAUCAAUAGUGGUGGUGGCAGAGUAUCAUCACGGUCAUCGUCCCCAUCUUUAGACAUUUCAGCUUCAGCUCUAGAUCAACAUCAAACAAAAAAGAAAUAAAAUAAAAAAACAAAUCGAAAUAAUAGGAAAAUUACUACUUAAAAACCGAUCCCCGGC